rnacentral:rRNA from 1 species
GACGAACGCUGGCGGCGUGCUUAACACAUGCAAGUCGAACGGAAAGGCCCUGCUUUUGCGGGGUGCUCGAGUGGCGAACGGGUGAGGAACACGUGAGUAUCCUGCCCUUCUCUUUGGGAUAACUUCACGAAACUGGGGUUAAUACCGUAUAGCAGCUCCUGCUCCGUGGUGGGGGUUGGAAAGUUUCGGCGGUUGGGGCUGGACGGGCGGCUUAUCAGCUUGUUGGUGGGGUAGUCGCUUACCCAGGCUGUGACGGGUAGCCCGCCUGAGAGGGUGGACGGCGACAAUGGGACUGCGAUACGGCCCAGUCGCCAACGGGGGGCAGCGGUGGGGAGUAUUGCACAGUGGGCGGAAGCCGGAGGCAGAAGCGCCGCGUGCGGGAUGACGGCCUUCGGGUUGUAAACCGCUUUCGCCUGUGACGAAGCGUGAGUGACGGUAAUGGGUAAAGAAGCACCGGCUAACUACGUG